AGGAAGGUUUGCCCCACUCUGAGUUGC
rnacentral:piRNA from 1 species